UACGUAGGGUGCGAGCGUUAAUCGGAAUUACUGGGCGUAAAGCGUGCGCAGGCGGUGAGCUGUGUCCGAUGUGAAAGCCCCGGGCUUAACCUGGGAAUGGCAUUGGAAACUGGCUCGCUGGAGUGUGGCAGAGGGGGGGUGGAAUUCCGCGUGUAGCAGUGAAAUGCGUAGAGAUGCGGAGGAACACCGAUGGCGAAGGCAGCCCCCCCUGGGCUAACACUGACGCUCAGGCACGAAAAGCGUGGGGGAGCAAAACAGG
rnacentral:rRNA from 1 species